rnacentral:lncRNA from 1 species
GAGCCUCGGCCAUCCAACUAAAUUUUUCUUCAAGUGCUUCAUAUAUCAAGAAGAUGAUUAUUGUUACAAUAUUUUGCGACCUAAACUGAUUCCAAGAAUGUAAUCUUUCAAUGCUUAUCCAAAAAUUAAUAAUUUUUGUCACGCUACCCAGUAUUUAAGUUAAUGGCUGGAGUCUAAAAAUGGAUUGUGAUACGGCAAGGGGCAUACCAUAAGAUCAAUGCCUACAGGGUAAGUGAGAGA